GGAAGGUCACCUUGUUUUCUUGAGGUUCUCCGUUUCAGUCCUCAUUGACUGAGUCGCACGUACCUAAAUGCAGUGAAGAACUUUGAUUUGCGAGCAGUAUAGGCAGAGAUCAUACGAAACAAGGACAUACAGAUCAAGAUGUUUAGACAGAGCGAGGCAUACAAAGAUACAGCUGCACUUGAGGUUGUUGAAGUUGGGCGCUUUUGGGCUUACAAAACAGAUGGGGAGAGCUUCCUUACUUCAAGCAAAUUGAUGAUCAAAAUUAAUCAGUUGAAGUUGACAGCACUGACCUUGGAGCCAUGUCCUGACACUCACAGAUUGCAGUGAAACCCAUUAUUGCAGAGCUAAAGUCUUGCAGAUCUCUGGUGAUUCUGUUGAGAUGACAAUUAAUAUUUUGAACCAAUGUGUCUUUUUCUUUCUCUUUGCCCGUGCAAUUAUUGAUUUAAUAGCGUCACAUCUGUAGAUAUUAGCUCUGCUUAGAUGGUAUCACUCUCUCUCCCUGCUGCCAGAAAGUUGUGGGUUCAGUCCACUCUGAAUUUGACACGCAGCCUUCGCUUACAUUAAAUGUGAUGAAUGCGUUUGCAAUGCUUACCUUCGUUGGUCAGUGCAAUGAGUAUGGGAGUUGGGACAUCAUGUUCCAGCUGGACAGAACAUUAGUAAGGCCACUUUUGGAAUACUGUAUUCAAUUCUGAACUCCUUGCUAUAGAAAAGAUGAAACUUGAAAGGGUUCAGAAAAAUUUACAGGAUGUUGCCAGGAUUGGAGGGUUUGAGCUAUAGGGAGAGAUUGAAUAGCUGGGACAUUUUUCCCUCGACCAUUAGAUGCUGACAGGUGACCUUAUAGAGGUUUAUAAAAUCAUUUGGGACAUGGAUAGGGUGAAUAGCCAAGGUCUUUUUCCUGGGAUAGGGGAGUCCAAAACUAGAGUUUAAUGUGGUAGAUUUAAUGUGAGAAAGGAAAGAUUUAAAAGCAAACUGAGGGGCAACUUUUUCACAAAGAAGGUGGUCAAUGUGUGGAAUGUGACUCGUUAACUGGACAAUGGCAAAAUAAAAUCCAUCACAUUUACACCUUGCUUCAUUUCCAAAGACCUAAACUCAAAUCGUUAACUCUGCUUUCUUCUAGCAACACUGAAUCUACCUACAUCACCUAGACGGCAUUGGUUCAAGAAGACAGCUCACCACCACCUUCUGAAGUGCAAUUAGGGAUGGAUAAUAAAUGCUGGACAGCCAGCAUCACCCAUGUCCUAUGAGUGAAUUUUCAAAAAUCAUAACUCCAUAAGAAAUAGCAGCAGAAGUAGACCAUUCUGUCAGUUGA